AUCCAUUGGUUCAAAAGUUAUGACUAUGUAAAAUUGAGCACUUUUAGGAUCUUUUAUACUUUAUUUUGACGGUAUAUUGGCUUCUACCCAUACUAUGUCCAAUGAACAAACCGCACACAUGAUGUCUAGUUGGCCCGCACAAAUGAGCAAGUUCCCGGAUCUGUAUAUAUGACCGUGGACUUUUCGGGUCGUUUCAACUAGCAAUGUCAUCAAAUCAAUGUUAUGACGGAGUUGUCACAAAAUUUCACAUAGGCGAUGGACAAAUUCAUCGUCAUAGAAGUAACUCCUCCUCCACAUCCAGUUCUUAGUUGGCCGGCAAUUUGAUUCUAUUUUUUGUGUACAUGUACCAUCAGUAGAUGUAGUUAAAUUCGCAAAAAAUUAGUUUGUAUUAAUGUAACGUAACAGAAAAUAAAUAUUACCCCAAAUUAAACUCAAA